rnacentral:rRNA from 1 species
AGAGUUUGAUCCUGGCUCAGGAUGAACGCUGGCGGUAUGCUUAACACAUGCAAGUUGAACGGUUUAAUUCUUUUUGAAUUGAAAAGUAGCGGACGGGUGAGGAACACGUGAGAAUCUACCCUUUGGUUGGGAAUAACAAUUGGAAACGAUUGCUAAAACCCAAUAUGCUGAGAAGUAAAAAGAUUUCUGCCAAAGGAAGAGCUCGCGCCUGAUUAGCUAGUUGGUAAGGUAAAAGCUUACCAAGGCGACGAUCAGUAGCUGGUUUGAGAGAACGAUCAGCCACACUGGGACUGAGACACGGCCCAGACUUCUACGGAAGGCAGCAGUGAGGAAUUUUCCGCAAUGGGCGAAAGCCUGACGGAGCAAUACCGCGUGGAGGAUGAAGGCUCGUGAGUCGUAAACUCCUUUUGAUAGAAAAGAAGAUCUGACAUUAUCUAUCGAAUAAGCAUCGGCUAACUCCGUGCCAGCAGCCGCGGUAAUACGGGGGAUGCAAGCGUUAUCCGGAAUGAUUGGGCGUAAAGGGUCGGUAGGUGGCUUCUUAAGUCUACGUGUUAAAAAGUAGAGCUCAACUCUACUAUGGCCGUAGAAACUAGGAAGCUUGAGUGUCGUAGAGGUAGAGGGAAUUCCAGGUGUAGCGGUGAAAUGCGUAGAUAUCUGGAGGAACACCAAGGGCGAAAGCACUCUACUGGGCGAACACUGACACUAAGCGACGGAAGCUUGGGUAGCAAAUGGGAUUAGAGACCCCAGUAGUCCAAGCAGUAAACGAUGGAUAUUAAGUGUCGUUAAAUUUAUUAAAAUUCAACGGUGCUGUAGCUAACGCGUUAAAUAUCCCGCCUGGGGAGUACGCUCGCAAGGGUGAAACUCAAAGGAAUUGACGGGGGCCCGCACAAGCGGUGGAGCAUGUGGUUUAAUUCGAUGCAACGCGAAGAACCUUACCAGGACUUGACAUAAAUACCUAAGAUCAUCUUAGAAAUAAGUAAUUGAUCGAGUUGUAUUUACAGGUGGUGCAUGGCUGUCGUCAGCUCGUGUCGUGAGAUGUUGGGUUAAGUCCCGCAACGAGCGCAACCCUUGUCGAACUAAUAGAAUUUUUCUAUUGGCUUAUUUGUUACAAUAUAUUUUAACGAAAGAGACUGCCGAUGAUUCAUCGGAGGAAGGUGAGGAUGACGUCAAGUCAGCAUGCCCCUUAUGUCCUGGGCCACUCACGUGCUACAAUGGCCGAGACAAAGAGUCGCUAACCUGCGAAGGUAAGCAAACCUCAAAAACUCGGUCUCAGUUCGGAUUGGAGGCUGAAACUCGCCUCCAUGAAGGUGGAAUCGCUAGUAAUCGCUGGUCAGCCAUACAGCGGUGAAUUCGUUCCCGGGCCUUGUACACACCGCCCGGCACACCACGGAAGUCGGCAAUACCCAAAGUCGUUACCUGAACUCUUUUGAGACGGGGAUGCCUAAGGUAGUGCUGGCAACUGGGGUGAAGUCGUAACAAGGUAACC